AAGUCGUAACAAGGUUUCCGUAGGUGAACCUGCGGAAGGAUCAUUAUUGAAAUAAACCUGAUGGGUUGUUGCUGGCUCUCUAGGGAAGCAUGUGCACGCCUUGUCAUCUUUAUAUCUCCACCUGUGCACCUUUUGUAGACCUUUCAGGUCUAUGUUGCUUCAUUUUCACCCAAUGUAUGUUAAUAGAAUGUUGUGCCUGUAUAAUAUAUACAACUUUCAGCAACGGAUCUCUUGGCUCUC
rnacentral:misc_RNA from 1 species